GACAAGUCAUUGGUCCUCUGAAGGCCGAAACAAUUCUUUCUGUCUACUCUGUGAUGAAGGAGGAACAAGUGGACACAUUUUCCCUGUGGAAGUUGUCACAGAAAUUAGGGGCCAGAGAUGUGGAUCAGAAAGAGAAUGAGCUUUUCCUCUGUUUUGGCAGUGAUAUCCCAGCUGUUUUCAUUGCAAAUGUAGGAGCAGUGCCUCUGUGACUUCAGUAGGUGGAACAUUACACUGGAGCUGAAGAAGCAGAACCCCUUGGGAUGAGUCAUUUGUAUAUCCUGUGAUUGUGGUUUUGUUUACCAUCCUGCCAAGAUAAAGAUUAAAAU